GGGAAAUCGGGCGCUGCGGGUCCUUCCUAUCUGAGGGGCUUCGGAAACCUUCUAGCAGUAUCCAGCGUCCUAGGUGAGGGAACUGUCUCCUUCCUUGCCUGGGACUCUGGAACCGUCUCUUUCUAAUGAAACAUGCCCGACCUAUAUGACAGGUGAGCACAUAGAUUACUGUGGGUACUCUGUUCUCCCCAUGGCUGUGGAGCAGGACAUGCUAAUAGCUGUGGGACCUGUGAAAACCCAGACUCUCCAACUGGCCAAUACAGACCCCUUGUAUCCAGACUUCAGUACUACAGCUAAUAACAUCUGUAUCGACAAGACCCAACCUCUAUGGCACAACUACUUCCUAUGUGGAUUUAAGGGAAUUCAG
rnacentral:lncRNA from 1 species